GAUGAACGCUAGCUACAGGCUUAACACAUGCAAGUCGAGGGGAAACGAUGAGAGAGCUUGCUCUCUUAGUCGUCGACCGGCGCACGGGUUAGUAACGCGUAUCCAACCUGCCUCUGACCAAGGUAUAACCCGUCGAAAGUCGGACUAAUACCUUAUGCAGUCGUCGGAAGUCAUCUGAUGACGACGAAAGAUUUCAUCUGUGAGAGAUGGGGAUGCGUCUGAUUAGCUUGUUGGCGGGGUAACGGCCCACCAAGGCGACGAUCAGUAGGGGUUCUGAGAGGAAGGUCCCCCACAUUGGAACUGAGACCAGGUCCAAACACCUACGGGAGGAAGCAGUGAGGAAUAUUGGGGAAGGGACGUAAGCCUGAACCAGCCAAGUAGGGUGCAGGAGGACGGCGGUAGGGAUUGUAAACUGCUUGUAUGCGGGGAUAAAGUGAGGGACGUGUCCUUCAUUGAAGGUACCGGAUGAAUAAGGACCGGCUAAUUCCGUG
rnacentral:rRNA from 1 species